UCAGACAACCCAACAAGGGAGUACAGUGG
rnacentral:piRNA from 1 species